UGGGGGAUAUUGCACAAUGGGCGAAAGCCUGAUGCAGCGACGCCGCGUGGGGGAUGAAGGCUUUCGGGUUGUAAACCUCUUUCGCUAUCGAACAAGGCCCGCUUAGGGUGGGUUGAGGGUAGGUGGAGAAGAAGCGCCGGCUAACUACGUGCCAGCAGCCGCGGUAAUACGUAGGGCGCGAGCGUUGGCCGGAAUUAUUGGGCGUAAAGGGCUUGUAGGCGGCUUGUUGCGCCUGCUGUGAAAACGCGGGGCUUAACUUCGCGCGUGCAGUGGGUACGGGCAGGGUUGAGUGUGGUAGGGGUGACUGGAAUUCCAGGUGUAGCGGUGGAAUGCGCAGAUAUCUGGAGGAACACCAAUGGCGAAGGCAGGUCACUGGGCCGUUACUGACGCUGAGGAGCGAAAGCAUGGGUAGCGAACAGG
rnacentral:rRNA from 1 species